GUUGCCGUGGCCGAGUGGUUUAGGCGAUAGACUUGAAAUCUUUUGUGAUUUUCCCGCGCAGGUUCGAAUCCUGCCGACAACG
rnacentral:tRNA from 1 species